rnacentral:rRNA from 1 species
UACGUAGGGUGCAAGCGUUGUCCGGAAUUACUGGGCGUAAAGCGUGCGCAGGCGGUUCGUUGUGUCGGUGGUGAAAGCCCCGGGCUUAACCUGGGAAUGGCCAUGGAAACUGGCGAACUGGAGUGUGGCAGAGGGGGGUGGAAUUCCGCGUGUAGCAGUGAAAUGCGUAGAGAUGCGGAGGAACACCGAUGGCGAAGGCAGCCCCCUGGGCUAGCACUGACGCUCAGGCACGAAAGCGUGGGGAGCAAACAGG